rnacentral:rRNA from 1 species
GGUACCGUCUGGCCAGAAGCGGCGGUAAUACGGAGGAUCAAAGAGUUAGCAGGAAGCAUUUGGUUUAAAGGUUCCGUAGGCGGCCUUAUAAGUCAGCGGUGAAAGUUUUUGGCUUAACCAAAAAAUUGCUAUUGAUACUGUAGGGCUUGAAUAUUUGUGAAGUAACUAGAAGAUGUAGUGUAGCGGUGAAAUGCUUAGAUAUUACAUGGAAUACCAAUUGCGAAGGCAGGUUACUAACAAAUGAUUGACGCUGAUGGACGAAAGCGUGGGUAGCGAACAGGAUUAGAUACCCUAGUAGUC